UACAGAGGGUGCAAGCGUUAAUCGGAAUUACUGGGCGUAAAGCGUGCGUAGACGGUUAUGUAAGUCGGGUGUGAAAGCCCCGGGCUCAACCUGGGAAUGCCAUUCGAGACUGCAUAGCUAGGGUGCGGAAGAGGGAAGCGGAAUUUCCGGUGUAGCGGUGAAAUGCGUAGAUAUCAGGAGGAACACCAAUUGCGAAGGGCAGCUCGCUGGGACGUUACUGACGCUGAGGCGCGAAAGCCAGGGGAGCAAACGGG
rnacentral:rRNA from 1 species